GGAGUAUGGACCGUUCUCAGUUCCAUUGUGGCCGUUCAACCUCUCAGUCCGGCUACGCAUCAUCGCCUUGGUAGGCCUUCACCCCACCAACUAGCUAAUGCGCCGCAGGCCCCUCUCUAUGUGAUAAAUCUUUAAACAAUUAAUGAUGCCAUCAAUUGUCCUAUCCAGUAUUAUCCAUCGUUUCCAAUGGUUAUCCUCGGCAUAAAGACAGGUUACCUACGUGUUACUCACCCGUUCGCCAUGGUAUUGCUACCAUUCGACUUGCAUGUAUUAGGCACGCCGCCAGCGUUAAUC
rnacentral:rRNA from 1 species